GCUCCCGUAGUUUUAAUGGUUCAGAAUGAGUCCUUGGUACGGAUUAGGAAAGGGUUCGAUUCCCUUCGAGAGCACCA
rnacentral:tRNA from 1 species